GACGAACGCUGGCGGCGUGCUUAACACAUGCAAGUCGAACGGAAAGGCCCUGCUUUUGUGGGGUGCUCGAGUGGCGAACGGGUGAGUAACACGUGAGUAACCUGCCCUUGACUUUGGGAUAACUUCAGGAAACUGGGGCUAAUACCGGAUAGGAGCUCCUGCUGCAUGGUGGGGGUUGGAAAGUUUCGGCGGUUGGGGAUGGACUCGCGGCUUAUCAGCUUGUUUGUGGGGUAGUGGCUUACCAAGGCUUUGACGGGUAGCCGGCCUGAGAGGGUGACCGGCCACAUUGGGACUGAGAUACGGCCCAGACUCCUACGGGAGGCAGCAGGGGGGAAUAUUGCACAAUGGGCGGAAGCCUGAUGCAGCAACGCCGCGUGCGGGAUGACGGCCUUCGGGUUGUAAACCGCUUUCGCCUGUGACGAAGCGUGAGUGACGGUAAUGGGUAAAGAAGCACCGGCUAACUACGUG
rnacentral:rRNA from 1 species